rnacentral:rRNA from 1 species
AAUCAGUUCAGCACUAAGUCACUUUGUCUUUAUGGCAAAUGUGAGAUGCAGUGUAUGGAAUGUUCAAUUUCUAGUAUGAGAAAUUAACGAUUUAAGUCCUUCUUAAAUGAGGCCAUUUACCCAUAGAGGGUGCCAGGCCCGUAUAACGUUAAUGAUUACUAGAGAACAUUUCCAAAGAGUCGUGUUGCUUGAUAGUGCAGCACUAAGAGGGUGGUAAACUCCAUCUAAAACUAAAUAUAACCAUGAGACCGAUAGUAAACAAGUACCGUGAGGGAAAGUUGAAAAGAACUCUGAAUAGAGAGUUAAAUAGUACGUGAAACUGCUUAGAGGUUAAGCCCGAUGAACCUGAAUAUCCAUUAUGGAAAAUUCACCGCUACGAUUGUGAUAUUUAUAAAAUAUUAUAAGAAUGGCGUGCAUUUUUUCCAUAUAAGGACAUUGUAAUCUAUUAACAUAGAAACAUUUAUCAAAAGAUCAAUGGCUUUAGUUUAUUCGAAUUAUUUCGCUUGCGAUUUAACAUAGAAUAAAUGCUGUUGAUUUGAUAAAGUGUUGAUAGAUUUAUUUCAAAUAUAGUGCUCAAAUAUAUUUAUAUAUUUUAUAAUAGCAUAUUAAUAAUUUAUUUUUAUGUUUAUUAUAUGCACUUAUAUGAUUAACAAUGCGAAAGAUUCAGGAUACCUUCGGGACCCGUCUUGAAACACGGACCAAGGAGUCUAACAUAUUUGCAAGUUAUUGGGAAUUAAAAAACCUAAUAGCGAAAUUAACAUGACUUUAUUAUAAUGGGAUUAGUUUUUAUUCUAUUUAUAGUUUAUUAAUUCAAUCCCGGGGCGUUCUAUCAGUUAUGUCUAAUAGUAUUUAUAUUAUUUAGAUCUCUAACUAGAGCGUACCUUGAGCAUAUAUGCUGUGACCCGAAAGAUGGUGAACUAUACUUGAUCAGGUUGAAGUCAGGGGAAACCCUG